GAGGGUGUAGCUCAGUGGUAGAGCGCAUGCUUAGCAUGCACGAGGUCCUGGGUUCAAUCCCCAGUACCUUCA
rnacentral:tRNA from 1 species